AUUGAACGCUGGCGGCAGGCUUAACACAUGCAAGUCGAGCGAGCGGCGGACGGGUGAGUAAUGUCUGGGAAACUGCCUGAUGGAGGGGGAUAACUACUGGAAACGGUAGCUAAUACCGCAUACCAUCAGAUGUGCCCAGAUGGGAUUAGCUAGUAGGUGGGGUAAUGGCUCACCUAGGCAACGAUCCCUACCUGGUCUGAGAGGAUGACCAGCCACACGGAAACGGCGACACGGUACAGACUCCUACGGGAGGCAGCAGUGGGGAAUAUUGGACAAUGGGCGAAAGCCUGAUGCAGCCAUGCCGCGUGUAUGAAGAAGGCCUUCGGGUUGUAAAGUACUUUCAGCGGGGAGGCGUUACACGCAGAAGAAGCACCGGCUAACUCCGUGCCAGCAGCCGCGGUAAUAC
rnacentral:rRNA from 1 species